rnacentral:sRNA from 1 species
CAGUACGACCAAAUAGUGAUGGUAUC